UAUUUACAAUAGCAUCAAGAAGAAUAAAAUCCUUAGGAAUCAGUUUCCAUGUGCUUGUUUUCAUAUGCUUCAUCCUUGUUACAUCUGGUCUUACACACAUAGAAAUUUAAGAGUCACAGUAACUGUUUAUUAUUGCAAAAUGUUCCUCAGUUGCCACAUGCAGAAUGUUGUGAAUACUUGGCUAAUUCGUGAGUACACCAAGAACCACGAAUUAGAAUAGCAAGAAAAGUGAGAAAUUGGCAGCUCAAUGCUGGGAAACAAUACUCCAUUAUGCGAGAAUCUAUCGUACCAAUGCUAUCUUGAGAGGAAGGGUUUGAUGAGUUAAUUAAAUAGUUUUUUCUUUACUGAAAGUGUUUCCACCACGCAAAUCCUCUCUGCUCUCUGAAGAGGAAUCUGUCUCCACACUGGCAUGGCAUACCCACAAGGUUCAUGGCAUUUGGAAGCAGCCGCCCUUUGUCUGGAGGACACAGCACAAGAGGUGUGGGGAAGCAGGUCCCUGGGGCCUGGAUGGUGUGAGUCACAAGACAGGAUGUUGAGGAGAGUGGUGGCUGAUACACUGUGCCAGGCUGCACACCAACUCCCAAGUGACAGAGGCGGUACUGUGCGUGUGUGUGGCCAGGUAAAAGGCCCCUCUUGUCUGAGCCUAGCAAUGACACAAGCAGGGCUCAGGAGAGAGUCCUGAGGCUGGGCAGUGGGGCUUCUCCACUGCACAGCUAGGAAAGCCCUGGCUCCCUCCACGGAAUCAACAAGGGCCAGCGACAUGAUGUGGCAGGACUGUGGCUCCAACCCUUCUCUCCAGGAGGUCUACGCAGGGCUGAAGCUGGAACUGAGAUGCCUGUGGAAUAUAGGACUGUGGCCCUGUCAGGAGUCGGUGUCGUGUGUCAGUGCAAUCCACCCUCACUGGUACCGGGUUAAUCUCCCUGAAGCCUUACUGACAGAAACUUCAGUAGUUCCCAACCGCUCACAGGAUGAAGUUUAAAGUCCUAGCAAGCCAGUCCCUUGCACAGGGCCCCCAAAGACCUCUCCGAGCUUGGCUCUCAAUGCUCCCUCAUGAGACUCCUCCUCUCAAACGUUACUAGCACUUUCCUGUUUUUAUCUUGGCAUUUCUUUUCUUCCAUAAACACUGGCAAAUAAAAUCCAGCCACAUGAACAUAACCUAUUUGAACUGAAAGAGAACUCAGACAUCAGCGGGUAAGGUCCAGUCUCCUUCCUGCUUCUCAUUACUGAGAUGAGGAAAUGGAGGUCUGUAGAGAGGUGGUGAGUGAGCCAGCUCAAAUCCACUGUGUCCAUGCCACUCGGCCCUCAGGCACAGUCCAGAAGGGACUCGGUGGCGCCAUCACUUGGCCCUUAGCAGGAUUGCAGGUGAGGCGAACAGGGAGAAGGCAGCGACACCUCUACCACCGGCUCAGGACUCUCAGCGGGAGAGGCCGUAUUUUACAGGCCUCCCAGAGCUCAGGGUAGUUUUGGGAAACCCAGGAGGAAGGAGAACCAGGCUGCAACAAAACUUGGCUGAAAUGGAGAACUCCAUUUCACUAACUCAACAAUGUCCUUGAAUGUGCCUUCCUGCCCAUCUGUCCAAGAGGCUCUCACGCCACCUUCUUCACUUUUUGCACCAUUUAUUCCUGUCUGUAACUGUCUUGGUUAACUUGCCACUUGAUUGUCUUCCCCCUGGAUGUAAGCCCACCAGGGAGGGAGGGGCCUUGUCCUUUUGACUACUGCUAUAGCCCCAGCACCUAGCCAUUUAUUUAUUCUGCACCUGCUGAUGUCUUCAUGAACCUUUGCUGUUGUUAGGGGUGUGCAAACUACAGCAGAUGGCAUCCUUAGUUGCAUUAUGACAGACCCACCAGGGUGAAGACCCAUCUGAAUGAAUGAAAAUCCCAAGUUAUGGAGGAAUGCCAGUUUAUUACUUCCAAUGACUGUGACCUUAUUGCCUGGAACUUUCGUUCUACCUUAAUAAUUAGAUAUGAGACUACUUUGUUUUCAAGAACUCUAGUAUUAAAUAUUUGCACAUAUCCGUAGUCACAAACUGCUCAAUAUCCACCUAACACAUAAGGAAACUGUGUGGAGGGUGCCGUGUGGGACGCUGGGAGUGACAGGGCUGCAGGCAGCUCAGGGCAUGUGGCCCCCUCAGGGACGGAGGUUCAAUGGGGUCACGACCUGCAAUUUGCCUACAUAAAAUUUUUAUAUUCUAAAAUCAUUCUGGGCCAAAUGCAACAUGUUGUGGGCUGCUUUGGACCACACAAGCCACUAAUUUUUAAGAAAACAUACCUCAGAUGUACAGAUAUCAUGAUUAAUAUCAUAAUCCUUGGGUCAUGGUAUGUUCUCAUCGAGUCAUGCACAAUCCUCUUGUCUCAUUCAUUCAUUCCAGGCCACCAGUUUGCAGCCUCUAGAAUAUAUACGGUGCUAAUUACAAGUGAGUGUUAAGUGGGUAAACGAUGUCCCUGCAAUUGCUCUUUACAUGGCUAAUUAACUCAGCAAGCCUUUUCUCGGGGGUAACACAGGCCACAGUGAUGGUGCAGGCUUGAGGGAGACUGCUGGGGCUGUAUCUAGGUUAUGCACUUGAACACAGGCAAAUUACUUCAGCUCUCUGGGCCCCAUUUUCCUCACUUGUCCAAUUGGGGUUAUACCUUGCAAGAACGUUGAGAACAUUAAGGGAGAUGAUCCAUGUUAAAAGCUCUUAGAACAGUGCAUGCAAAAAGCACUCAGAAAACAUUGGCUCUCAUCAUUAUUGCUAAGGAGAGGCAGACCUCUCUGCCCAUUUCGUACUGUUAGUGAUGCAUGAAUUAGCAACGAUACACUAGCAAGGAAGCAGAAAAUGCCUUUCUGGCUCAAAAGAGGUGACAACCUCUUGACGAUCCAAUCCAGUAGGAUCAUGGAUCAGGCCAGAAAGUCAAAGAGAACACAGCUUCUUUUCCAGAACCACUUUCUGUUACCUGACGAUUCUUUUUGCAGCUUUUGGCCAGAACUUUCCCCUGACCUUUUUACAUAGCGUGAGCCAGUGGUUCUCAAACUUGAUUGUGCAUCAGAAUCACCUGGAGGGCUUGUUAAACCACAGAUCACUGGGCCCCACCCUCAGAGUUUCAGAUUCAAGAGGUUGGAGGGAGGGCCUGAGAAUUCAUAUUUCUGAGCAGUUCCCAGGUAGUGCUGCUGCUGGUCCAAGGACCACACUUUGAGAGCCACUAGUCUAAGGAAUUAACUGCGAUGGGGGACACGGGGCAGUCAGGGGAGGCUUCCUGGAGGUGAAGGUCUUUGAGGUGAACCUGUUUGCCAGAUGGAGAAAAGAUAGCAAAGGGAACAAAGGCACAGAGUGCUGGGAAAGGCAUGGGGAGGUGAGGCUGACAGGUCCCCACGCACCAAGGGUGCAGGACCUCAAAGGCCAGGUGAGAAGUCUGGGCUCCACUCUAGCGCCCUCUUUAAGAACAGCAUGGUUGUGGAACCUGGGAGAGGUGUGAGCAGAACUGGCAAUGGCGUAAUGGGCAGUUUAGGGAGACUAGGUAAGAGGAUAGGUAGUAGUUGUGGGACAAGAGCAGAAAACAGCCUUGGCCCUCAGCCCAGGUGACUCACCCUUCUUUAAAACCUGGAGGAUUUCUUCCACGAUACUAUUUUCAAACUAGGGAUUGAGACCUAUGAUUCCUAAUGGUGUGAGAUGAAGUAGUGGGUUGCAACCAGCAUUUACAAAAAUGAAUGAGAAUGGAAUAAAAAAAUCAGAGUUCAUUGCACACAGCAAAGGUAUUGUUUCAUCAUACCUGUUUCAGGUAUGUGUGUGUGUGUGUGUGUGUGUGUGUGUGUGUGCUGCAUCAUGAUGACAGUACCAAAGGUUUGAGAGCCAGGGCUCUGUGCAGUCUCCCAGUUCAGAGAACCAGCCAGGGAGUGACCUCGACCUGCCUGUGGCAUCUAGCAUAGGGCCUGGCCAGGGACAUGAGCCAUUCAGGCCCCUGUCCUGUGGGGCCGAUGAUCCUGUGAGAGAGAAGACAGGGCCCUAUGGAACCCCAGAACAGGAAGGCUGAGUGGAGGGUGGAGGCGGGGAGCUUGGAGAGCAGGCUAAACCCUGGGAGGCUUCCAAAGAGGGAGGGAUUAGCAGUCAGGGGAGGCUUCACUGAGACGGGCCUUGAGUUUGACCUUGCAGGGUGGCUCAGAUUCUUACCCCAGGGCCUUUGGUAAGAGGGAAGAGAUCCUGCAGAUAAACGGAGAUCAGAAGCUGCCAAGAAGCACGGGGAAUAGUACAGAGUGUGAGAAGGUAAACAAAGUUUUAAAAAGUAACCUGAGGCCCAACAAAGUCCAAACAGAGCUUGAAGAAGCCUGAAAUAUCAGCCAAGAAAUUCACGUUACGGCUGAGGAAACUGAGACCUGUUUGCCCAGCACCUGCGUGGGAGACAAACGCAGGCUUCUGCUCCAGGGCUCUUCCAGGCCACAUGGAGGCUCCAAACAGACUCCACCUUGCCUACAUCAUGGAGUUGGUAAACACUGUGGGUACGACAGCAGGUCGAGACCCCACCUGUGACAAUGCCCUGCGGGAUGUGGCCUGACCCUGCCCCAACUCCCCCCUCCAACCAGGUGAGAAACCCAGGAACCACCAACCCACUCCCCUUGGGUCUGCAAGUGCGUCAGCAAAUCUUUAGCAAACAAUCUUCAUGACACUGUAAUUGGAACUGAGGCUGUAAAAAAACCAAAAGUUACUUUCUUUUGUGCGGGCCAUUCUCUUCAAGUCUACCGUGUCCAUGGGCUCUGGGACCCACACCUCAGGACGCUUCAGGCCGAUGUGUUCUGGGCUUACAACCUGCAUGUCUGUAGCCCUUGGUAGGUUCAGCUGGCCUCAGUUACACAUUAGGACAGUUUGCCGUGCUGUGGUAAGCUCAAGGUCACUGGGAACACAAAGCACGGGGGGGGCUCCAGGCGCCCUGCCUGCUGGUCCAAGCUCCUUGUCAGAGGCUUCUAGCAGCUCAGAUGUGAGAUUCUAAAAACUCACUUUGUACCUGUGAGAGUGCCCAAGGAAGACCAGCAAUUUCAGUGUGGAAUUGUCUUGGAGGAUGCAAUUUUUUAUCUGAUAAAUAAUCCUAUUCUAUUGAAAGGAAACUUGCCAUGUCUAAGAAAUUGCUCAGCAAUUCACACAAAAAACAACGGCAAAGUUUAAAAAAUAACGUGAAAAAACCCAUGGCACUUUUGUUCUCUUUCCUUCAACUGAUUUAAUGCCACUGGGGCCUAAUUUGCUUUUCAGUGUGGAUAUAAACCCAAGAAGCCCACACUGCAUGGCUAAUUGCAUCGCAAAAUUUUGUCUUAAACGUCUUUUUAUGGCACAUAUGUAUAUAACAUCAACAGUCACAUCGGAUCUCCUCUCAUCCACCUUGACUGAGGCAGGAAAAGGAUAAACAGCAAAUACUGUUGCGAAUAUCCAUCCAAAAUGGUAAUUAUUGCAUCAUUAUAUUCGCUAUUUUACUUGUCAUGUACCAUUAGAAGAUAACAAGAUCAUUGUCAGUCAAAGACUGUGGAGCUAAUUAGAGCAUCUAUAGGUUAGCAGAAAAUCAAAUUGGUGCUGGUACCCAUCAAUGCCGAGGAGCCGAACGUAAUUAGAGGGAAUAUAUGCAAAGGUUGAGAUGAAUAAAGCCCCAGGGAUUAAACACCGUGACUGAUUUGAGUUUGACUCUGCUCCGUUCUGACAUUGCAGAUGGCAACAUGAAAAUAGGUGUACAAUAGAAGGCAGCAAGGUCUGCCAGAAACAGCAAAUCAAGACGCCACUGAUGUCGAGUGUCUGCAAUGUCCCGAGAAUUGCCUCAUUUGGAAAAACACAGUGUUUAUCAGGUUUUCACCAGUCUUUUUUCAAGUUAUCUUCUCCAGUCUGGGAAUGAGGUAUUAACAUAUAAAAGCAGAGCUGGGUGAAGUGGGCCUUUCAAGCAGUUCCUGUUCUGCCCAUCAUUAGCUUUCUAAGCCUGCAAGCCCGUUUCCCCCAACCAGGAGUCUCCCAGGGCCGUCCCAGACCUCCCUGAGAGCUGUAGGAGCACACGGUACUGUCACAGGUGCGGGCCCACAGGUUCUGCUCACUUCCGUUUCAAUGCCAGGCAGCAGCCUGCUCACCAGGGCAGCGUUAGUUUGUUUUUUCCAGUAAGAUACUGAUACCAACCUACACAAUCUCAUCCAAACAGCAAUUCCAUCAGGGUGACACAAGAAAAGUUAACAAUUUUUACAUCUUGAAAAAACAGAUUUUAGAGGAGGAGGGAGAAGUCUGCAAAGUGAUGAUGCAUAUGCCACGUAAUUCAACGCGACACAGGAAAAAGUAUCUGGAAGGUCUUAAGUAACAUAUAACUGACUGAGUCCACAGAUUGAAGAGCAAAGGAACAAGGAAGCAAGGACUGUUGUGAAGAACCCUAUAUCAGAUUGGUCGUCAACGCAGAUAAAGCAAAUGCUGAGUUUUGAAGGAGGCCUGAGACACAGAGGGUAUUGGCUAACUUAGCCCACACACAUCAUCUACAAAACCCCAAAGUACCUUCCCAUCACGACUUAACAGUAUUUUGCUUAAGACAAAAAAAAAAAAGAGAGAAAACCCACAACUGACUGUGUGGGGUGCAAUGCUUACAGAAACUAAUUGGCAGGUCACUAUCUGAGUGAGGCAGGGUGGCCAGCCAUUUUAGGUCAGCCUGCUGUUCUUGCUCAGGCAGGGUUCAAGGCGUUCCUUGUCAAGAGCUGGGUCUUGCAAGUAUGGCUUCUUCCCCAGGGUAAUGAUGGCCAUCUCACACAAACAAGCAGCUGGAAGCUUAGUUCACAUUUUUUAAUAACAUGGCACAGUUUACAUUACACAAGAGGCUCCGCCGAUGAGAACAUGCUGAAGAUCCAGUCGCUUCACUUUUCUUUCCACAGAGGAUCUAGAAAGGACUUUAUUACAUACAGGAUAAACAGCAAAAAGGUCUGGAUAGAACAAUCUCUUUACAAUACUGAAAGCUACCACUACAGUUCCAGUGUACAUAUUCCUUGGAUUUUUUUUCUUUUUAGUUGUUGUCUUAAAAAAAAAACAAAACACUGCACAACAUCUGGAGUUCACAAAAUCUGAAGCUCACAACUAAA